UACGUAGGGGGCAAGCGUUGUCCGGAUUUAUUGGGCGUAAAGAGCGUGUAGGCGGCUAGGUAGGUCCGUUGUGAAAACUCGAGGCUCAACCUCGAGCUGUCGAUGGAAACCAUCUGGCUAGAGUCCGGAAGAGGAGAGUGGAAUUCCUGGUGUAGCGGUGAAAUGCGCAGAUAUCGGGAGGAACAUCAGUGGCGAAGGCGGCCUUCUGGUCCAGUACUGACACUCAAGUGCGAAAGCGUGGGGAGCAAACAGG
rnacentral:rRNA from 1 species